AUUGAACGCUGGCGGCAGGCCUAACACAUGCAAGUCGAACGAGUGGCGGACGGGUGAGUAAUGUCUGGGACACUGCCCGAUGGAGGGGGAUAACUACUGGAAACGGUAGCUAAUACCGCAUCCCAUCGGAUGUGCCCAGAUGGGAUUAGCUGGUAGGUGGGGUAACGGCUCACCUAGGCGACGAUCCCGAGCUGGUCUGAGAGGAUGCCCAGCCACACUGGAAUUGAGCCACGGUCCAGCCGCCUGCGUGAGGCAGCAGAGGGGAAUAUUGCACAAUGGGCGCAAGCCUGAUGCAGCCAUGCCGCGUGUAUGAAGAAUGCCUUCGGGUUGUAAAGUACUUUCAGCGAGGAGGCGUUACUCGCAGAAGAAGCACCGGCUAACUCCGUGCCAGCCGCCGCGGUAAUUC
rnacentral:rRNA from 1 species